CAGCCCUGAAAAUGGAUGGCGCUGGAGCGUCGGACCUAUACCGGACCGUCUCGGCAAGAGCCCCUUUCGGGGGGAAGCCAUGCGGAGACGAGUAGGAGGGCCGCUGCGGUGAGCGUAGAAGCUUGGGGCGCGAGCCUGGGUGGAGCCGCCGCAGGUGCAGAUCUUGGUGGUAGUAGCAAAUAUUCAAACGAGAACUUUGAAGGCCGAGAAGGA
rnacentral:rRNA from 1 species